ACCCAGGGUGGUUGCUAAGGUGUUGCUAUGCGGUUGCUAAGGUAUCCAGGGUGGUUGCUAGGGUGUUGCUAUGCGGUUGCUAGGGUAUCCAGGAUGGUUGCUAGGGUGUUGCUAUGCCGUUGCUAAGGUAUCCAGGGUGGUUGCUAGGGUGUUGCUAUGCGGUUGCUAGGGUACCCAGGGUGGUUGCUAAGGUGUUGCUAUGCGGUUGCUAGGGUAACAGGGGUGGUUGCUAGGGUGUUGCUAUGCGGUUGCUAAGGUAACAGGGGUGGUUGCUAGGGUGUUGCUAUGCGGUUGCUAGGGUAACAGGGGUGGUUGCUAGGGUGUUGCUAUGCGGUUGCUAGGGUACUUGGGGUGGUUGCUAGGCCGGUUGCUAAGGUGCCCAGGG